CAGAUGGGAGCUUGCUCCCUGAUGUUAGCGGCGGACGGGUGAGUAACACGUGGGUAACCUGCCUGUAAGACUGGGAUAACUCCGGGAAACCGGGGCUAAUACCGGAUGGUUGUUUGAACCGCAUGGUUCAAACAUAAAAGGUGGCUUCGGCUACCACUUACAGAUGGACCCGCGGCGCAUUAGCUAGUUGGUGAGGUAACGGCUCACCAAGGCAACGAUGCGUAGCCGACCUGAGAGGGUGAUCGGCCACACUGGGACUGAGACACGGCCCAGACUCCUACGGGAGGCAGCAGUAGGGAAUCUUCCGCAAUGGACGAAAGUCUGACGGAGCAACGCCGCGUGAGUGAUGAAGGUUUUCGGAUCGUAAAGCUCUGUUGUUAGGGAAGAACAAGUACCGUUCGAAUAGGGCGGUACCUUGACGGUACCUAACCAGAAAGCCACGGCUAACUACGUGCCAGCAGCCGCGGUAAUACGUAGGUGGCAAGCGUUGUCCGGAAUUAUUGGGCGUAAAGGGCUCGCAGGCGGUUUCUUAAGUCUGAUGUGAAAGCCCCCGGCUCAACCGGGGAGGGUCAUUGGAAACUGGGGAACUUGAGUGCAGAAGAGGAGAGUGGAAUUCCACGUGUAGCGGUG
rnacentral:rRNA from 1 species